GUACCAGUUGAAACUUCAACAUGGAAUGCAGUGUAUCCACCCCAAAAGUCUCACGCUUCUUCCUUCUUCCCUCGUCUUCCACAGAUAAAUAUGAAUCACGCAUAGCGACAUGAGCAGCGUCAGUCCAUCUCAGCAUCACAGAAACUGCCUUCUCCUUGGAAGCGUACAUCUCAUCAGACCUUUCCUGGCAUGACCAACCUUCUCCUGUUACUCCUUGGCUUGUCUGCAGCACAAGAGCAAGAGAGAAACCAUGCACUGAUAGUUGAUUCUUCUUCCUCUCUUCCUGAUGGAUUUUAAAGUGAAGGACCAUUCGAGCAGGACAGUACCUCAUGCAGUUGUUCCUAAGAGAUGCCAGAAACAAGCUGGAGAGAAAGCAGAAAGAUUAGGAUAGCUUUUGAUGUUAAAACAUGUAAAAGAUAUCUUGGUUUCCAACAUGUCUUUGAGAGAAGAUAGCGCUCGCUAUUGUUAUUUUCUGUGAACAAGGGUUCCUGGAGAUACCAUUAUGACUUUCUGCUGGAUCGAGAUCAUAGUUCCAGAGUUUCCAUUGCAAAGUCUGAUCCAGUUCUCUAAAAGGAGUUGAUGGCAUGUUUGUUGCUGUCUCAGGAAGCCAAACAUCUGAGUCUGCCACCGGGCUUACUGGUUUGAGCAUCAGCAUCAGCAAAAACCAACUUGGCAGAGUCCAUCAACCCAGACAGAUUCAACAGUUUGUGAUCUGAAAGCUAUGCCGAUGAAAGCGUCUAAGAAAUCGUAGAUCAGUUGUUUGAUAGGCCGUGUAUCGAAGCGUCGAGCUCUCAGACAAGGAACUCGAAAGCAACAAACAGAUUGAUAUGAAAGCUGUCGGAGAUGGUUCGAUCGAAGGCACAAGGAGGAGGAACAGAAUAGUGAGCGGUGCGAGACCGCCGCAAGAGACAAACUAUGGAGCCACUUCUUCGAACUAUUUCAGCGUGGAGUCAUUCCUCAUCCUUAUCUGCCUCACCAUGUCGCUGUUGAUACUUCCUCUCGUCCUGCCUCCGCUGCCCCCUCCACCUUCCAUGCUAUUGUUGCUUCCCGUAGCCAUACUAGUCUUACUCAUGAUCCUUGCUUUUAUGCCCUCGGACAUCAGCAACAUGGCCUCCCCUUAUCUGUAAAUAAGCAAGCUGUGAAUUAGCACAAGAUAUAUAAGAUAAUGAAGCCUUUUGUGUGGUUAGCUUCAACGCUAGGCUACAUUGGAUAUUGCAGACAUGUGUUCAUGUUCGAAGGUGCAAUUAACUUACUAUUUCUUGUCC